rnacentral:rRNA from 1 species
ACUCAAAUGAAUAGACGGGGACCCACACAAGCGGUGGAGCAUGGGGUUUAAUUCGAUGACAAGCGAAGCACCUCACCCAGGCUUGACAUCUAUGAAAUCCUGAAGAAAUUCGGGAGUGCCGCAAGGAAUCAUAAGACAGGCGCUGCACGGUCGUCGUCAGCUCGUGCCUUGAGGUGUACUGUUAAGUCAGCCAACGAGCGCAACCCUCAUCUCAUGUUGUUAUUUCAUGAGAGACUGCCGCCUCCAAGGCGGAGGAAGGUGAGGAUGACGUCAGAUCAGCGUGGCCCUUAUGCCUGGGGCAACACCCGUGCUACAAUGGCCGGUACAAACAGAAGCCAACUCGCGAGAGUGAGCAAAUCUGAGAAAACCGGUCUCAGUUCGGAUUGAAGUCUGCAACUCGACUUCAUGAAGUUGGAAUCGCUAGUAACCGUGAAUCAGCUACGUCACGGUGAAUAUGUUCCUGGGUCUUGUACACACCGCCCGU